AAGCCCGGCUAAAUACGUGCCAGCAGCCGCGGUAAUACGUAUGGGGCAAGGUUAUCCGGAAUUAUUGGGCGUAAAGAGUGCGUAGGUGGUUACCUAAGCGCAAGGUUUAACUUGAGGCUCAACCUCAUUCUGCCUUGCGAACUGGGCUACUUGAGUGCAGGAGGGGAAAGGGAAUUCCCAGUGUAGCGGUGAAAUGCGUAGAUAUUGGGAAGAACACCGGUGGCGAAGGCGCUUUCUGGACUGUAACUGACACUGAGGCACGAAAGCGUGGGGAGCAAACAGGAUUAGAUCCCUGGUAGUCCACGCCGUAAACGAUGAGCACUAGUUGUUGGGUACGAAUGUAUUCAGUGCGCAGUUAACGCAAUAAGUGCUCCGCCUGGGGAGUACGGUGGCAACACUAAAACUCAAAGAAUUGACGGGGACCCGCACAAGCAGCGGAGCAUGUGGUUUAAUUCGAAGCAACGCGAAAACCUUACCAGGGCUUGACAUCCCUCUGACCGGAUCUUAACCGAUCCUUUCUUCGGACAGAGUGACAGGUGGUGCAUGGUUGUCGUCAGCUCGUGUCGUGAGAUGUUGGGUUAAGUCCCGCACGAGCGCGACCCUUGUCGUCAGUUACUAACAUUAAGUUGAGGACUCUGACGAGACUGCCGGGUCAACUCGGAGGAAGGUGGGGAUGACGUCAAAUCAUCAUGCCCCUUAUGUUCUGGGCUCACACGUGCUACAAUGGCCGGUACAAUGAGAAGCAAUACAGCGAUGUGGAGCAAAUCACCAAACCGGUCCCAGUUCGGAUUGCAGGCUGCAACUCGCCUGCAUGAAGUCGGAGUUGCUAGAAUCGCGAAUCAGCAUGUCGCGGUGAAUGCGUUCCCGGGUCUUGCACACACCGCCCGUAA
rnacentral:rRNA from 1 species